GUUUGGCCUCAACCUGU
rnacentral:rRNA from 1 species